rnacentral:lncRNA from 1 species
GAUAAACACAUAGCACAUAAUUGCACAAUUACUCUUUUUAUAGCCAUUAAAUACAUAUAAUUUCUAAUGAAAAUUCGGCAGCAUUUCUUCUGUUUAUCGGACUAUCCACCUGUUUGCAAUACCAACAACUAGCCAAUACCGUUGCUAACACAUGAAUUACUAUUAUAAAAAUAUGUCUUGACUUGCAGUAAACACAUAAGAAAAUC